GAUAAAAUGGCUGAGAUUAAAGGCGGUAAAUUGUAAAUUUAUUUAGAGGGUUAAAAAUCCUUUUUAUCA
rnacentral:tRNA from 1 species